UGAAGGCAGUCACUGGAAUGAAGAAUGAGAACGAGCCACCCAAGUUGCCCAGAAAGAGCAUCCAGGCAGAGGGAGCAGAAAGUUCCAUCCUCGCCCAGCGCUGCCCACCCAGCCUUGGGGCACAGUCAGCAGCCCCCUGGAGGAAGCCCCGCAGAGGGGUAAGGAGACACGGCUCCCAGCCAGCCCGGCCUCACCUCUGUGCUGGUGGCCCAUCCAUGAUGAUGUUGAUCCACAGGAUCUGCAUGGCGUUGAGGGGACUCGGCAGGUUGAACACGGUGGACAGAGUGAUGAGACUCAGGGCGGAGAUGCUCCUGCAGGGCACACGCAGCCAAUCAGGGGCCGUCCGCCAGGCGUGGCGCUUAAUGACACUUGGAAUGCUGGCCUCUACUUACGUGCUGAGUUGGAAUCGCACAAAGUUUUUGAUGUUGUAAAAAAUCCCCUUGCCUUCCUCCACUGCACUCCUGCAAGAGGAGAGAGCUGUUUACUCCCGGAGACGACCUGCGGAAGGGCUGGACCAGUGCAUCGGCUGCUGCAGGGGGCAGUGGUGACUUGCCCAGAUGGACGUUGUACUUGGGCCCCUGCUGGUUCCCUUUGCUGGCAUUCUUGGGGACACAUUUGUAGGAGACGCUGGUGUUCUAACAGGUGCCCCUCGGCCACUGGGAACUGAUCCUCGAGCCAUGUUCAGCCUUCUGUGCCCAGGGUACACUCGAUGCCUCCAGUUAGUUACACCAUAAAUUACUCUCCUCCUGAGCUCAGGGACCCCAUCCCUGCCUACACUCCCGAAGUGCUCCCUGCGUCUCAGCCAUUUACCAAAGAGAAGAGAGACACAGCAAAACCAGUGACACCUAAAAAAUGAGGUCCGGAGGACGGUAAGGAGGGAGGGAUGGGCAGGCUGAAGGACAUUGCCUACUUCUGUCUUUAGAAGGCUCUUCGCGGAUGCCCUUUUAAACCUUAACCUGGGGUCACUAAUGUAGAAAAACCAUCUAUGUGCUGCACCCACCCCUGCCACCAGAUUUUACUAAAAUAUUUUGCAAAAGAACUAUAGAGCUGA